rnacentral:rRNA from 1 species
UACGAAGGGGGCUAGCGUUGCUCGGAAUCACUGGGCGUAAAGGGUGCGUAGGCGGGUCUUUAAGUCAGUGGUGAAAGCUCCGAGCUUAACUCGGAAACUGCCAUUGAUACUAUAGGUCUUGAAUUCGGUCGAGGUUGGCGGAAUGUGUCGUGUAGCGGUGAAAUGCUUAGAUAUGACACAGAACACCGAUUGCGAAGGCAGCUAGCUAGACCGACAUUGACGCUGAGGCACGAAAGCGUGGGGAUCAAACAGG